rnacentral:rRNA from 1 species
UAGGGUUUGAUCAUGGCUCAGAACGAACGCUGGCGGCAGGCUUAACACAUGCAAGUCGAGCGCACCUUCGGGUGAGCGGCGGACGGGUUAGUAACGCGUGGGAACAUACCCUUUGGUACGGAAUAGCCUCUGGAAACGGAGAGUAAUACCGUAUGAGCCCUUCGGGGGAAAGAUUUAUCGCCAAAGGAUUGGCCCGCGUUAGAUUAGGUAGUUGGUGGGGUAAUGGCCUACCAAGCCUACGAUCUAUAGCUGGUUUUAGAGGAUGAUCAGCAACACUGGGACUGAGACACGGCCCAGACUCCUACGGGAGGCAGCAGUGGGGAAUCUUGGACAAUGGGGGCAACCCUGAUCCAGCCAUGCCGCGUGAGUGAUGAAGGCCUUAGGGUCGUAAAGCUCUUUCGCCUGUGAAGAUAAUGACGGUAGCAGGUAAAGAAACCCCGGCUAACUCCGUGCCAGCAGCCGCGGUAAUACGGAGGGGGUUAGCGUUGUUCGGAAUUACUGGGCGUAAAGCGCACGUAGGCGGACUGGAAAGUUGGGGGUGAAAUCCCAGGGCUCAACCCUGGAACUGCCUCCAAAACUAUCAGUCUAGAGUUCGAGAGAGGUGAGUGGAAUUCCGAGUGUAGAGGUGAAAUUCGUAGAUAUUCGGAGGAACACCAGUGGCGAAGGCGGCUCACUGGCUCGAUACUGACGCUGAGGUGCGAAAGUGUGGGGAGCAAACAGGAUUAGAUACC